GAUGAACGCUGGCGGCGUGCCUAAUACAUGCAAGUCGAGCGAACAGAUGAGGAGCUUGCUCCUCUGACGUUAGCGGCGGACGGGUGAGUAACACGUGGAUAACCUACCUAUAAGACUGGGAUAACUUCGGGAAACCGGAGCUAAUACCGGAUAAUAUAUUGAACCGCAUGGUUCAAUAGUGAAAGACGGUUUUGCUGUCACUUAUAGAUGAAUCCGCGCCGCAUUAGCUAGUUGGUAAGGUAACGGCUUACCAAGGCAACGAUGCGUAGCCGACCUGAGAGGGUGAUCGGCCACACUGGAACUGGGACACGGUCCAGACUCCUACGGGAGGCAGCAGUAGGGAAUCUUCCGCAAUGGGCGAAAGCCUGACGGAGCAACGCCGCGUGAGUGAUGAAGGUCUUCGGAUCGUAAAACUCUGUUAUUAGGGAAGAACAAAUGUGUAAGUAACUAUGCACGUCUUGACGGUACCUAAUCAGAAAGCCACGGCUAACUACGUG
rnacentral:rRNA from 1 species